rnacentral:rRNA from 1 species
CGGUGGAGCAUGUGGUUUAAUUCGAUGCAACGCGAAGAACCUUACCUGGGCUUGACAUCCCGGGAAUCCCUUGGAACAAGGAGUGCCUUCGGGGAACCUGGAGACAGGUGCUGCAUGGCUGUCGUCAGCUCGUGUCGUGAGAUGUAGGGUUAAGUCCCGCAACGAGCGCAACCCUUGUCUUUAAUUGCCAUCAUUGAGUUGGGCACUUUAAAGAGACUGCCGGUGUUAAACCGGAGGAAGGUGGGGAUGACGUCAAGUCAGCAUGGCCUUUAUACCCUGGGCGACACACACGCUACAAUGGGUGGUACAGUAGGUAGCGAAGGAGCGAUCCGGAGCAAAUCCUUAAAACCAUCCUCAGUACGGAUUGCAGGCUGAAACCCGCCUGCAUGAAGCCGGAGUUGCUAGUAACCGCAGGUCAGCAAUACUGCGGUGAAUACGUUCCCGGGUCUU